rnacentral:rRNA from 1 species
UGGGAGAUUUAUCUCUCAGUGGCGCAGCUAACGCAUUAAGCUCUCCGCCUGGGGAGUACGGUCGCAAGAUUAAAACUCAAAGGGAUUGACGGGGGCCCGCACAAGCAGUGGAGCAUGUGGUUUAAUUCGAAGCAACGCGAAGAACCUUACCAGCCCUUGACAUGGCAGGACGAUUUCCGGAGACGGAUCUCUUCACUUCGGUGACCUGCACACAGGUGCUGCAUGGCUGUCGUCAGCUCGUGUCGUGAGAUGUUGGGUUAAGUCCCGCAACGAGCGCAACCCUCGCCCUUAGUUGCCAUCAUUUAGUUGGGCACUCUAGGGGGACUGCCGGUGAUAAGCCGGAGGAAGGUGGGGAUGACGUCAAGUCUUCAUGGCCCUUACGGGCUGGGCUACACACGUGCUACAAUGGCGGUGACAGAGGGUUGCUACACAGCGAUGUGAUGCUAAUCCCUAAAAGCCGUCUCAGUUCGGAUUGCACUCUGCAACUCGGGUGCAUGAAGUCGGAAUUGCUAGUAAUCGCAGAUCAGCACGCUGCGGUGAAUACGUUCCCGGGCCUUGUACACACCGCC